UUUUCUUCUUUUGAUAUAAGAUCCAAAGCUUUUGGACCAGAAAAUUGUAUGAUUUUGUUUGGGGAUGCUAUAGUUAUUUGGAGAAGCACAAAGCCAAAGUAGAUAUAUUCUUUGAUAUGCAGUCUUAAUUGGGAGUAUCGACGAAGAUGUAAUCAAACGGAGACCCGCACAACAAAGAGGUACAAUCAUACAGUCAGUGGAUCAUAUCCUCUGUUUGGGUUUUUCACGUUCACUACGCGGUGGCACCUUCAAGGUCAUUUAUCUCUAUGUAUCUCUUUGUCUUUACACAAUUAUAAGAGGUGAGAAUUGAAUCAAGACUACUUGAAAGCUAAAUGUAGCCACAUUUUUAUACUUUAGAAGAAACUCCAGGUAUUUGUCUUACUUUAAGGAGUAAUAUUUAGUAAUC